rnacentral:rRNA from 1 species
AGUGAACGCUGGCGGUAGGCCUAACACAUGCAAGUCGAACGGCAGCACAGAGGAGCUUGCUCCUUGGGUGGCGAGUGGCGGACGGGUGAGGAAUACAUCGGAAUCUACUCUGUCGUGGGGGAUAACGGAGGGAAACUUACGCUAAUACCGCAUACGACCUACGGGUGAAAGCAGGGGACCUUCGGGCCUUGCGCGAUUGGAUGAGCCGAUGUCGGAUUAGCUAGUUGGCGGGGUAAAGGCCCACCAAGGCGACGAUCCGUAGCUGGUCUGAGAGGAUGAUCAGCCACACUGGAACUGAGACACGGUCCAGACUCCUACGGGAGGCAGCAGUGGGGAAUAUUGGACAAUGGGCGCAAGCCUGAUCCAGCCAUACCGCGUGGGUGAAGAAGGCCUUCGGGUUGUAAAGCCCUUUUGUUGGGAAAGAAAUCCAGCUGGCUAAUACCCGGUUGGGAUGACGGUACCCAAAGAAUAAGCACCGGCUAACUUCGUGCCAGCAGCCGCCGUAA